GCUGCUAUGGUCUAGUGGUAUGAUUUUCGCCUCACAUCUCAUGUGGACGCGAACGGUCGCGAGUUCGAACCUCGCUGGCAGUA